rfam:Heterocephalus glaber contig147084, whole genome shotgun sequence.
GGAAGUGUAGCUCAAUGGUAGAGCAUUUGCUUUGCAUGUAUGAGGUGCUGGGUUUGGUUCCUAGCACUACAA